ensembl:lncRNA
GUGGAGUGCUGGUUGUCAUUAGCAUUAUUGUAGUCCUGGUUCUCAUCGCCAGUGGUGUUGGAUUUCUUCUCUGCAAUAACAACUCUGGAGAGGAGGAGGGAGAUGGAGUGUAGUGAAUAAGGGCGAGCGUGUAUACACACACACACACACACACACACACACGGAUGGAGGAGCUUUUUUAUUGUGAAUCUGUUACUGCCAGGUUUUGGAGUAACACUUCUCAGUGAUGGUGCUUUUAUAUAGCAAGAAAAGCAGCCAGUCUUUAUGUCUUUAAGGGAGUUAGAUGAAGAUUUAUUCCUUCAAUGGAAAGCAGGACAGUCUUUCUAUUUUGUGGUCAUAUGUUUUGUUUUGUACAAAGAAAUGCACUAAUGUAUUCCAUGAAGUUUCUAAAGUAUUUAUCUUAUCUGAAGUUGUUCAAGCUGCUAAUGAAUAUGAACAAACUCACUUGUUUUGACCUCCUCGAUCUGUUUGGGAAAUAUCCAAAAGCUGAGCUGAAAAAGUGCAAUAUUGUUCGGAUGGUCUUUUGGCUGCUACUUGAAAAUGAGGAGUUUAAGUGUGUCCUGAGUCUGGAUCAUUUGGUGCAUAUGUAUAUCUGUAGCUUGCAUUUGUUAAACUAGUGUUUAUCAUGGAAACAUUUUUUUUCUUAUUUAUUAUUUCUUCACAUGUCUUCUGACCUCCAGUAACGUUCCCCCCUUAUUGCUAACUAUUGAUUCUAGCUUCUUUUUUUCUUUUUUUUCUAUAAAAGUGUUGGUGAAGCUAAAUUAUUGUAUUUUUAUACUUUUAUAGUCCUACAUGCACACAAAUCAGCCUUAACAUUAAAACUACCUAGCUAAUAUUGUGUAGAUCUGCCUUGUGCAGCCAAAACUGCUGUGACUGUCGAGGCAUAGACUCCACAAGGGUUCUGAAGGUGUGAGCUCUGAACCAAGACGGUAGCUGCAGAUCCUUUAUGUCCUGUAAGUUGUGAGGUGGGGCCUCCAUGGAUCGGACUCGUUUGUUCAGAACAUCCCACAGUCGCUCGAUCGGAUUGAGAUCUGGGGAAUUUGGAGGCCAAAUCAACACCUUGAACUCUUUGUGUUCCUCAAACCGUUCCUGAGCAGUUUUUGCAGUGUGUCCAGGAGCAUUAUCCUACUGAAAUAGGACGCUGACAUCACCAUGAAGUUUACAAUGUUUAUGUAGGAGGUACGUGUCACAGUAACUUCCACAUGAAUGCCAGGAUCGUGUGCAGGGGUCAGCGUGGGCACUCUGACCAGUCUGUGCUACCCAUGUCCUUACACAGCAAACUGUGAUCUGUGUUCUGACUCCUUUCUGUCAGAGCCAGCAUUAACCUUUUCAGCUAUUUGUACUACAGUAGCUCUUCCGUGGGAUCCAACCAGCCGGAUUAGCCUUUUCUCCCCACGCACAUCACUGAGCCUUGGGCGUCCAUGACUCUCACCGUUUGUCUCACAACGUUACUUCUGUGUUAUUUUGAUUGUAUUUCAGGAGCCAGCUUUGCAUUUCAAAAAACAAUUUCUUC